UUAUUGUAAGAAGUUGAAAGAUGUGAUUGGUGGUCUAAGGACUACAUAUAGUGGUUUCUGAGAUGGAUUCCAUUGUCUCUGCUGUUGUAGCUGAUGGACAAGCUCUCCUUCUUUUUGCAUGUGCAGUAACAUGGUUUUCAAUCUAAGGAGGAGUCAAUUGCGACUUUGGAAAAGAAUGUUAGUACUCUGAGGUUGUUAAGGCAUAUCGAUGAGAAAAAUCAAUAAAAUUCAGUGAAAGCAGGAGAUUUGGAUCAAGUUAGGUUCAUUGCUAAGAAGCAGCUCCAAAACUUUAGUUAUUUUCCUUGAGGCAGCACCAAUGCCUGUGACUUGGGAAUUCGAGUGGAUUCGACACUCAAGAGAGAUAAAAUGCUCAAGAUUGAGACCCGGUGGUGAAAUACGACC